rnacentral:rRNA from 1 species
UAUUAUUUACUUUUUGGGGAUAUUAACUCAAAGAAUAUGGCGGUGUUUUAUAUCAUUAUAGAGGAAUAUGUCAGUUUAAAACGAUAGUACGCGAUUAAUUUGGAUUAAAAAAUUUUUGUAUAUCUCCGUUUUUAAAUUUAUUUGUUUAAUUUUAUUAUAUUUUGUUUAAAUUUUUUUCAGGUCAAGAUGCAGAUUUUUUAAUUAUUGAUGUAUUACAUUUUUUUUAUUAAAUUCUUCUUUUGUUGAAAUUUUGAGAUGUUCAGAAUUUAUAUGUAAUUAAAUUUUAUUAUAAUAUUAUGAAUUUGUUAUGAAAUGUGUA